GUAGUCCACACCGUAAACGAUGAUUACUAGGUGUUGGAGGAUUGACCCCUUCAGUGCCGCAGUUAACACAAUAAGUAAUCCACCUGGGGAGUACGACCGCAAGGUUGAAACUCAAAGGAAUUGACGGGGGCCCGCACAAGCAGUGGAGUAUGUGGUUUAAUUCGACGCAACGCGAAGAACCUUACCAAGUCUUGACAUCCCUUGACGAUGCUGGAAACAGUAUUUCUCUUCGGAGCAAGGAGACAGGUGGUGCAUGGUUGUCGUCAGCUCGUGUCGUGAGAUGUUGGGUUAAGUCCCGCAACGAGCGCAACCCUUAUGGUCAGUUACUACGCAAGAGGACUCUGGCCAGA
rnacentral:rRNA from 1 species